rnacentral:rRNA from 1 species
GGCUGUCGUCAGCUCGUGUCGUGAGAUGUUGGGUUAAGUCCCGCACGAGCGCAACCCUUGUCAUUAGUUGCCAUCAUUUGGUUGGGCACUCUAAUGAGACUGCCGGUGACAAACCGGAGGAAGGUGGGGGAUGACGUCAAGUCCUCAUGGCCCUUAUGGGUAGGGCUUCACACGUCAUACAAUGGUCGGUACAGAGGGUUGCCAACCCGCGAGGGGGAGCUAAUCCCACAAAGCCGAUCGUAGUCCGGAUCGCAGUCUGCAACUCGACUGCGUGAAGUCGGAAUCGCUAGUAAUCGUGGAUCAGCAUGUCACGGUGAAUACGUUCCCGGGUCUU